UACGGGGGGGGCAAGCGUUGUUCGGAAUUACUGGGCGUAAAGGGCUCGUAGGCGGCCAACUAAGUCCGACGUGAAAUCCCCAGGCUUAACCUGGGAACUGCGUCGGAUACUGGAUGGCUUGAAUCCGGGAGAGGGAUGCGGAAUUCCAGGUGUAGCGGUGAAAUGCGUAGAUAUCUGGAGGAACACCGGUGGCAAAGGCGGCAUCCUGGACCGGCAUUGACGCUGAGGAGCGAAAGCCAGGGGAGCAAACGGG
rnacentral:rRNA from 1 species